rnacentral:snoRNA from 1 species
AAACCAUGGUGGGGACACUUGAGGAGUAAAUCAUUGAAUAUUUUCCAAUACUCACAAAAUUUCUCACUCUCUCUUUGAUAAAAAUCACUUAUCUCUUUCCUAAGUAC